GACGAACGCUGGCGGCGUGCUUAACACAUGCAAGUCGAACGGAAAGGCCCUGCUUUUGUGGGGUGCUCGAGUGGCGAACGGGUGAGUAACACGUGAGUAACCUGCCCUUGACUUUGGGAUAACUUCAGGAAACUGGGGCUAAUACCGGAUAGGAGCUCCUGCUGCAUGGUGGGGGUUGGAAAGUUUCGGCGGUUGGGGAUGGACUCGCGGCUUAUCAGCUUGUUGGUGGGGUAGUGGCUUACCAAGGCUUUGGCGGGUAGCCGGCCUGGGAGGGUGACCGGCCACAUUGGGACUGAGAUACGGCCCAGACUCCUACGGGAGGCAGCAGUGGGGAAUAUUGCACAAUGGGCGGAAGCCUGAUGCAGCAACGCCGCGGGCGGGAUGACGGCCUUCGGGUUGUAAACCGCUUUCGCCUGUGACGAAGCGUGAGUGACGGUAAUGGGUAAAGAAGCACCGGCUAACUACGUG
rnacentral:rRNA from 1 species